rnacentral:misc_RNA from 1 species
UUUCCGUAGGUGAACCUGCGGAAGGAUCAUUACUGAGUGAGGGCCCUCUGGGUCCAACCUCCCACCCGUGUUUAUUAUACCUUGUUGCUUCGGUGAGCCCGCCUCACGGCCGCCGGGGGGCAUCUGCCCCCGGGCCCGCGCCCACCGAAGACGCCUAGAACUCUGUAUGAAGAUUGCAGUCUGAGCAAAAACUAAAUAAGUUAAAACUUUCAACAACGGAUCUCUUGGUUCCG